UGUACAGCCCUAACCACGUGUUCUUGUCUCAUCUCAUGAAGCAGUGCAAUGGCACUGGUUCUCGUUGAGAUGGAAGCCAUCGAAUGUUUCAACGGUGGGUGUUCAAUCCCCAUUGUUUCUUGCAUUGUGGCCUAUUCGAGUUUUGGUGGCCUCCGUGGCUACCCAACUUGCUUGUACAUCAUGUUCUUAUCGCGCUUCAUGAAGUAGUGCAGUGCGAUGACACUGGUUCUUGUUGAAAAAGAAGCCAACCCCCUUCGACCUUCACUGAAAGGGAUAAAAUCGCGGAAAGUGACCACCACAAGGGGCAAAAAUGUCAUUUCACAUUUAAUGAUCACUUUUUAAAACCGUCCAUCAAUCAAAGUCAGCACAGAUAGCUGGGUGUCCGUAUCUUGAAAUGGCAGAUGGUUCUAUGGAAAUAGUUUAAAAGUAAGCGGUUUUCGGUCCAUAACUCAAAAGGUAGGCGUCUAUAUGAAAAACUUUUGUUUUUUAGUGGUCUAAAAGGUUAGAUCUUUGAAUUCUUUUCAUUUCGUUGAUAUCUUGAAAUAGUAUGAAUUGAAUUGACACGAUUCAAAUUCCUGCCUUUCGGGCUAUGUACCGAAAACCACAUACUUCUGAACUAUUUUUAUAGAACCGAUUGCCUUUUCAAGAUACAGUAAUUCAGUUGCUUGCGUUGACUUUGAUUGAUGAACGGUUAGAAAAAUUGGCCGCUAAGCAUGAAAAUGACGUUUUUGCCCUCGCGGUGCUCACUUUUCACAGUUUUACCUUAUUUGAUGGGGGAGAUUUCCUUUUCAAUGAGAAACAUUGCCACUGCACAAUUUUGUGGAGUAAGAUGAGAACACGUGAUACGAUCGAGUUUGGUGGGGCCAUUGCAUUUUCUGUGUGACAUCUAGGCUUUUUCGAGAAUGGAAUCAACAGACAACAUCUCACGAAAUAGUGGGGAUUGAACGCCUAAUGUUGAAAACUUGUUGGGGGCCACAAGUUUUGGAUCAAAUUAAUAUUUGUGUUUUCCCUUCAUCUGGGUCUGUGUGACCUUAUGAACAGGUUAGGUAGCAAGGAAACAUCAUGAUGGGCCCUAGGAAGGUUUCAAUACUGGGUGUGCGCAUAGCCAUGCAUUGAUGGUGUCCACCUAUGUAUUGGCAUCAGGAAAGAUGACCUAUGUUUCAAAAAUAAAAUCCAUUAAAAAAUCUCAUCUGUAACUUUAUAAACAGUUUACCCAUUGCAUGUGUGACCUUAUAACUGAUUUUGUUUUCUUUCGUCGCUUUAGUGGCCGCACAUUAGAUGGAUAAGAUUGUCUAAUAUCUGUGAUUAUUGAAUGCUAGGCCAUCCAUACUAGGGCCCUGAUUAUGAUCGGAUGUGAGAGCUAAGAGAGUGGUAGCUGAGAGAGGGUCAGCAGCGGAGUAGAGAGAAGGUAGUUGGGUUAGUUGAACAUGCCAUUAAAAGGGAUAAGGAUUGCCUAGGUGGGGCUCACUGCAAGGUACUUAAGGUUAGUCAAAUGUGCCAUUAAUAGGACAAGGAUUGCCUAGGUGGGGCUCACUGCAAUGUUUGUGCAAAUCCACCUCAUUCAUCAGUUUCUCUAGAUCAUUUUAGGGCGUGAGAACCAAAACUUGAGUGGGCCACACGGCAGGAAAUGACGGGGAUUGAAUGCCCACCAUUGAAACACUCGGAGCCCACCGUUAUGUUUCUAGCAAAUCCAUCUCGUUCACCAGUUUUGCCCCAAAGAAAUUAUUUCGUGAGCCUAAAAAAGAGGCAGAUCCAAAACUCUAGCAGGCCAAAUAACAUGAAACAGUGGGCAUCGAACGCCCACCAUUGCAACAGUUGUGAGGCACACUAUGAUGUUUGUGAGAAAUCCACCAUGUUUGGCUUCGCUAGAUCAAAUUUUAUGGCCCGAGCCCUCAAAUGAAGCAGAUCCAAAAAUAAAGUGGGCCAUAUGGCAGGAAAUAGUGGACAUUGAUGCCCACCGUUGAAAUAAUCAUGGGACCCACUGUUAUGUUUCUUAGAAAUCCACCAUGUCCUUUAGUUUCGCCAGAUCAUUUUAGUGCACGAAUCUAAAAAUGAGGCAAAUUCAAACUCAAAUGGGCCACACAGUGGAAAGUGGAGAUUCAACGACCAUUGUUGAAACACUCCCCACAAAUCCACCAUUCUGCCAGUUUUCCUGGAUCAUUUUAGGGGGUGGGCCCAAAAAUCAGGUAGAUCCAAAACUAGCUUCACGGUAGGAAACAAUGGGUAUUGAAUGCCCACUGUUGAAACACUUUGCCUCUCUCUAGUUUCCAUUUAGGUACUGCUGAAAAGCUGUGGGGCCCACCAUGAUGUUUUUGAGCAAUCAAACCUGUCCAUUUUAGCUAGAUCAUUUUAGGGGGUUGGCCAAAAAAUGAGGUAGAUCCAAAACUCAAAUGAGCCACAUGGUAGGAAACAAUGGGUACGAACAACCAUCAUUGAAAUAGUCAUGGGGCUCACUGUGAUGUUUUAGAGAAAACCACCUCGUCCACCUGUUUUUUAGCUCAUGUUAGGGUGUGGGCCCAAAAAUGAGGCAGAUCCAAAACUCAAGUGGGCCACAUGCUUGAUAACAGUGGAGAUUGAACCAUCGUUCAAACACACGGGGCCCACCAUGAUGUUUUUGAGAAAUCCACCGUCCACCAUUUAAGCUUGAUCAUUUUAGGGGGCGGCCAAAAAAUUAGGCAGAUCUAAAACUAAAGCGAGCCAUAUGGGCAAGAAACAGUAGGUAAUGAAUGCCCACCUUUGAAACACUUUGCUUCUCUCUGAUUCUCUUUGGUGUUCAUUCAAGGACUGUUGAAAAAGUCAUGGAGCCCACUGGGGUGUUUUUGAGAAAUCCAUCGUCCACCAUUUUAGCUAGAUCAUUUUAGUGGGCCCAACAAUGAAGCAUAUCUAAAAUUCAAGUGGGCCACUUAGUAGGAAAUAAUGGGUAUUGAAUGCCCACCGUUAAAAUAAUCGUGAGGCCCACUGUGCUGUUUUUGAGAAAUCCACCGUCCUGGCCAUCCAUUCGUUUUUCCAGCUCAUGUUAUGGGGUGGGCCCUAAAAUGAGGUAGAUCCAAAACUCAGGUGGACCAUAUGGCAGCAAAUAGUGGAGAUUGAACUGCCACUGUUCAAACACUUGAGGCCCACUUCGAUGUUUUUGAGGAAUCCACCCUGUCAUCAUUUUAGAGGGUGGGCCCAAAAAUCAGGCAUAUUGAAAAUUCAAGCAGGUCACAUGGUAGGAAACAAUUGUGGGAAUGACUUUAUUACUAGUUUGGAUGGCGGUUCGUAUUGAACGUUUGAUACAUUCAUGGGGCAGUUGUGGGCCCAAGCUCAUGAAAGUUUUGGAUCUGUCUACUAUGUUUUGGUUUUCAGUUCAUUCCAGUGGGAAUGACUUUAUUACUAGUUUGGAUGGCAUAUAAACAACAUGGACCCUGGGAAGGUUUCAAUGGUAAGCAUUUCCUUUCUCAUUGUUUCCCCUUGUGUGACCCACUUGAGUUUGGGAUCUGCCUGUUUUUGGGGCCACUUGAGUUUUGGAUCUGCCUCAUUUUUAGACCCACCCCCGAAAAUGAGCUGGCAAAAUGGAUGGAUGGUGAAUUUCUCAAAAACCGUCACAGUGGGUCCCACCUACAUCAGGGGGUUGCAAGCCAGCAUCGGUUUAGUGCUGGUUAGUGCAGUGAGGUCGCUUUCAUCAAUACGAAAAUACGAGAUUCAAACUAUAUGCAAGACUAAUAGCAGGGGAUUGCUUGAUUAACAGGGCAACAGGCAGGCAAUUCUGUGGAAAUAGUUUAAAAGCAGGAGUUUUUUGGUCCAUGGCACAAAGGCAGGCAGCUAUAUGGAAAAAUCCCAAAAAAUCAUGCAAGGCUUUUGUACUUCAUUGGGGCUUUUAUCCUUCUAUUUUGAAUGAAGUUGCGAAUGCAAAUAUCUGCAUUUGACCACUAGAACCUAUGAAUUCAAGAUAUGCAUUUGUUCUGGCCUGUGUGCCAGCUACAACUCUUAACUAUCUAUUGGGUACUACUCUCUUCGAACCUUGGCAAACUAGUGUCUUUGAAGUGUAAAAUAAAGAUGUUAAAUUUGAUUUACCCCUCAGACUGAUCUGGCAGUCCACUGGAUCACCUGAAAUUGCAGUCUUCUGGCCCCUCUGUUUCACUCGUCAGUUCAGACUAUUUAUCUUGUGUUCCUAUCAAAACAAAGAGUGGCCUUUUGCACUAAAGUUGUACUGAGAGGACAAUCCUGCCAUCCAGUGGACUUGGUUAAUCUUGUAGACUGUUAAUAAUGCCCUUUUGAUUUUAGCCAUCCUUUUGCGGGGGCUUAGGGGAGCCAGUAAGAUUGUUCUGUCAUUGGUGGGAGGAUGAAUAAACAAUCCUGAUCAUGGAUGGGUGGACACCUUGUAUGGCGGUGGUCUGUGAUUCUGUGGGCUAUCUCCUUUCAUUGGCAUAUUUGCUUUAAAUGGAUAAUCUCAUUUGAUAUAUCUACCAUCCAGCAAUUAUCGGUAUAACACCAAAUUAUUGAAUACUAUUUGGUCAAGGAAUUUCAUGCAUGUCCAUGUUCGCCUUGCUCAUUGCUUUUUCUCCUGUACUAUUGAGUGUUGAAUGCUCCACCUCAGUAAAUGACAAUCACAAUAACCUGCUGAUAGUUUUUGUUUUUUCCUUUUUUAUGGGCCAAUAUAUUCCUCAUAGUCAAUUUGAUUCGAAUAACUGUGUGAACUUUGUAAGUUACAUGUUUCUUUUCA